rnacentral:tRNA from 1 species
CUCGUAGCUCAGCUGGUAGAGCAUGCGCGUACAAAGCGUAGGCGGUGUCCAUGCGUGGGUCCGAAUCCCACCGAG